rnacentral:tRNA from 1 species
CGGGAUGUGGUGUAACGGUAACAUACACGAUUCGGGUUCGUGUGACUCUGGGUUCAAAUCCCAGCAUCCCGACAA